rnacentral:rRNA from 1 species
GACGAACGCUGGCGGCGUGCUUAACACAUGCAAGUCGAACGGAAAGGCCCUGCUUUUGUGGGGUGCUCGAGUGGCGAACGGGUGAGUAACACGUGAGUAACCUGCCCUUGACUUUGGGAUAACUUCAGGAAACUGGGGCUAAUACCGGAUAGGAGCUCCUGCUGCAUGGUGGGGGUUGGAAAGUUUCGGCGGUUGGGGAUGGACUCGCGGCUUAUCAGCUUGUUGGUGGGGUAGUGGCUUACCAAGGCGUUGACGGGUAGCCGGCCUGCGAGGGUGACCGGCCACAUUGGGACUGAGAUACGGCCCAGACUCCUACGGGAGGCAGCAGUGGGGAAUAUUGCACAAUGGGCGGAAGCCUGAUGCAGCAACGCCGCGUGCGGGAUGACGGCCUUCGGGUUGUAAACCGCUUUCGCCUGUGACGAAGCGUGAGUGACGGUAAUGGGUAAAGAAGCACCGGCUAACUACGUG